ACAUUCCUGAAAUGUUCGUAAAGUUAAUAAUCUUAAGCCUCAAUUAAUUUUGGGGAGUCUGAGUAUUAAGGUGGAAAUCGGGCUGGCAGUGACCAGAGGGUUGAAGCGUGGAUCAAGGCACCCACCUGCUUAGUGGCAGGUUUUAAGAUUAUGACUGACGGCAUUUUGGGAAUCAC
rnacentral:other from 1 species